UUUUUGGGGGUUGCGUUGAAUUAAUAAUGUUGGUAAUUACAUUAAAUUAAUUUUAUAUGUAAUUUGAAAUUAAAUCCCAAUGUUAGUGGGUUCAAAAUAAAAUUCAAGUUGUAAUUACUUAAAGAAAUUGAAUAUGUAACUUAUUUUGUCUCCACUGUAACUUUUGAUUUCAAGUUCCCUCCCCUACCCACUUAACUAGCCCGGGCAAAUUCAUAUAUGGUGCAUUGCUUGGUGGACUUGCAAGCUUAUGUAAAAGACAUUUCAAGAUAAAGGAGGAAUUCAAGAGUUCAACCACUGUAAGCCUUGAAUGGCUACACUUGACCCCAAAACUGAUGGACGUCAUUUUUUCAAGGGGAGGAGCUAAAGGAGUGAGAAUCAGGCAGAUCAAGUACAUGCUUCUUGAGCACAAUUCAACUGAAAUACACAGAGAAGUAGCCAUCUGCUGCCUUAUCACAUACCUUGGAGAGAAGGAAGAGGACCUUUUCAUGGAGUUUGGUGACAAUUUAAGGCCAACCUUGAAAGGCAGGUGAUGAAAACUGCCAUCAUCGGUGACCGGUACACCCCUGGAUCUGACCAUAAGACUGCAACCAUUGUGGUGCGGGAACAAAAAUCCUGGAGGGCCAGAAUUUCCCAAGGUGCUGUGUGUUACUCAUGGGCAUAAUAUAUGCUCUCAAUCUGUUCCUUGACCUUGAUGGAACCAGCAUUAUGUUAAAGAUGCUGACUCUGUUUCAAAAAUUGUUAACUGUUUUGAAUCCUGUAUGUGUAACAUUGAUCUUAAAGGUGUUUGCUGCAUUGUGUAAAAGAAAGAUGCAUGAUCUUGUAAAGUUUGGUAGGCACUGAAAGUUGACAUUUAUUGAACGCUUGCUUGGAAGUAGUACUGUAACAAA